GGAUGAACUUCCCGGAGCUGGCUGGCAGCUGUGAGUUCUGCAGGAGCAGCCCCCUGGCCCCAGAAAUGCAAUAAAAUGAGAACACGCCUCAUGUUGCAGGGGGCUGUCUGUCAUCCUGGAGUUUCAAUGUUUCAGAAUCGCAGCGACCACAGCUUUUGGGAGGAAAGAUCACAGGUCCAUGGUGUUCAGCAUGGUUUUCUCAGCAAGGAUCCCGACCAGUAGGAGCUGCUCAGAAGUGUAUGUCCUGCCCACCCCGCCCCUUCCAGGGCCCCCUGCAUUAGACACUGCAGUUGGGGGCCAGCAGCUGACCCCUGACAAGCCCUCCAGGGAAUAAUUCAUCGCGUGUGCCCUGCACGGCUGGGAGAGAGCUGGGGAAGUGGCCAUGUGAGAGGCUCAGCUACCGGUUUUCUUCCCUUACAGCCCGGCUGCCAUGGGCUAGGAUCACCUUUCUCUGCAUCGUCUUAACUAAGGUCAGCCCUGGUGUCUGUUCAAACGAUAAACGCUCGGUCCCCUUGACCUUCAGGAAUCUAUCCUGGUACAAACGAAAUGGCCAGAAUGCUAGGAUAUGUGUGCCAAGAUAUUUAUUGGUGUGUCGUCUGCCCUGGCAAUAAUUGGAAACAUUACUUUACCAAUAGGUGAAUAAUAGAAUCAAUUCUGGCACAUUCAGUAUUAUGGAACAUCAUGGGUCAUUACGAAG